AGUGAAUAGAUACCCAGGUAGUCCUAGCCGUAAACGAUACUCGCUAGGUGUCGGCCACGGUGCGACCGUUGUCGGUGCCGUAGGGAAAGCCGUGAAGCGAGCCACCUGGGAAGUACGGCCGCAAGGCUGAAACUUAAAGGAAUUGGCGGGGGAGCACCACAACGGGUGGAGCUUGCGGUUUAAAUUGGAUUCAACGCCGGAAAUCUUACCGGGACCGACAGCGAUAUGAAGGCCAGGCUGAAGACUUUGCCGGAUUAGCUGAGAGGUGGUGCAUGGCCGUCGUCAGUUCGUACUGUGAAGCAUCCUGGUAAGUCAGGCAACGAGCGAGACCCACGCCCACAGUUGCCAGCGUACUCUCCGGAGUGACGGGUACACUGUGGGGACCGCCGCUGCUAAAGCGGAGGAAGGAAUGGGCAACGGUAGGUCAGUAUGCCCCGAAUAUCCCGGGCUACACGCGAGCUACAAUGGUUGGAACAAUGGGUAUCUACCCCGAAAGGGGAUGGAAAUCUCCUAAAUCCAAUCUUAGUUCGGAUUGAGGGCUGCAACUCGCCCUC
rnacentral:rRNA from 1 species